rnacentral:rRNA from 1 species
CUACCCUUGACAUGGAUGGAAUCCCGGAGAGAUUUGGGAGUGCUCGAAAGAGAACCAUCACACAGGUGCUGCAUGGCUGUCGUCAGCUCGUGUCGUGAGAUGUUGGGUUAAGUCCCGCAACGAGCGCAACCCUUGUCAUUAGUUGCUACGCAAGAGCGCUCUAAUGAGACUGCCGGUGACAAACCGGAGGAAGGUGGGGAUGACGUCAAGUCCUCAUGGCCCUUAUGGGUAGGGCUUCACACGUCAUACAAUGGUACAUACAGAGGGCCGCCAACCCGCGAGGGGGAGAUAAUCCCAGAAAGUGUAUCGUAGUCCGGAUUGUAGUCUGCAACUCGACUACAUGAAGUUGGAAUCGCUAGUAAUCGCGGAUCAGCAUGUCGCGGUGAAUACGUUCCC